AAGAGUUCUGGGCCGCACGCGCGCUACACUGACGGAGCCAGCGAGUACUUCCUUGGCCGAAAGGCCCGGGUAAUCUUGUUAAACUCCGUCGUGCUGGGGAUAGAGCAUUGCAAUUAUUGCUCUUCAACGAGGAAUCCCUAGUAAGCGCAAGUCAUCAGCUUGCGUUGAUUACGUCCCUGCCCUUUGUACACACCGCCCGUCGCUACUACCGAUUGAAUGGCUCAGUGAGGCGUCCGGACUGGCCCAGGGAGGUGGGCAACUACCACCCAGGGCCGGAAAGCUCUCCAAACUCGGUCAUUUAGAGGAAGUAAAAGUCGUAACAAGGUCUCCGUUGGUGAACCAGCGGAGGGAUCAUUACCGAGUUAUUCAACUCAUCAACCCUGUGAACUUACCUAAACGUUGCUUCGGCGGGAAUAGACGGCCCCGUAAAACGGGCCGCCCCCGCCAGAGGACCCUUAACUCUGUUUCUUAUAGUGUUUCUUCUGAGUAAAACAAGCAAAUAAAUUAAAACUUUCAACAACGGAUCUCUUGGCUCUGGCAUCGAUGAAGAACGCAGCGAAAUGCGAUAAGUAAUGUGAAUUGCAGAAUUCAGUGAAUCAUCGAAUCUUUGAACGCACAUUGCGCCCGCCAGUAUUCUGGCGGGCAUGCCUGUUCGAGCGUCAUUACAACCCUCAGGCCCCCGGGCCUGGCGUUGGGGAUCGGCGGAGCCCCCCGUGGGCACACGCCGUCCCCCAAAUACAGUGGCGGUCCCGCCGCAGCUUCCAUCGCGUAGUAGCUAACACCUCCCGACUGGAGAGCGGCGCGGCCACCCCGUAAAACACCCACUCUUCUGAAAUUGACCUCGAAUCAGGUAGGAAUACCGCUGAACUUAACAUAUCAUUAGCGGAGGAAAGAAACCCACCGGGAUGGCCCCGUACGC
rnacentral:rRNA from 1 species